CCUAUAGGACAAAUAAACCGGUUCAGUGGGAGAAUACUAAUUGAGUGUGAGAUAAAAGUCCUACACACUCAUAAAAAAAAUUAUAAAGAAAGAAGAAAAAGACGUAGCCUAUAUAGCCAUAUACAAUACUAUAAACGCGCGGAGAAACUGGGAGGAAAUUGAUCGCUUCUGAAAACUUUCUCUCUUUCCCAUUUUGCUCAUACUUCUCAUCAGAGCUAUGGGAAUGCGAUCGAUUAUCUCUGCAAAUAAAUCCAUCGGAUCGCUUAUAAAAUAGCGUCGUGAGUUUGCUUUUAACUGUACACUACAGUACUACUAAAGGAGUUUCAAUGAUAUAUGAUUUAGCCAUAGGACAUGCAUUCAUCAAAGUGUUCUAUUAAAAUUAAACUAGAACACAAAUUUUAAUUAGAGAAUUGUUAAUAAAGUAGUAACACAUGCAUGGUUUUAAAUUACUAUUCAUCAUCGCAAUUUUAAUCACAACAUAAAAAUAUUUGAACCAUCGCAACAACAUCAUCAUAACUGUAAUUGUGAUUAAAUCAAGAACAUUUUUUUGCAACAUAAUUUUUUUUUCACUCACCGCAACCAUGGACACAUAAUUAUAUAAUCUAGUGUACUUCUUUUAAAAGAUAUUCUUAAUUAUUGAUUGAAAUUAUUAAAAUUAGAAAACAUAAUAGGGAGUGUGGGAAAGAUGAGAUAUUUACCAAAUUGACCUUAUGAUAAUCAAGUGCUAACAAACAAAACAACCUUGAAGUGGCAAACUUGAGGGCAGUAAAAUAAAGUUGGUGGCUAGAAAUGGUUUCAGGUUGGCGGUGAUGCUAUAUAUAGGUUAGGAUAGGAUAAAGAAGCCCCUUAUCUGUGCUGUGCAGCAAACACCAG
rnacentral:lncRNA from 1 species